GUCCACGCCCUAAACGUUGAGUACUAGGUGUCGGGGGUAUCGACCCCUCCGGUGCCGUAGCUAACGCAUUAAGUACUCCGCCUGGGGACUACGGCCGCAAGGCUAAAACUCAAAGGAAUUGACGGGGGCCCGCACAAGCAGCGGAGCGUGUGGUUUAAUUCGAUGCAACGCGAAGAACCUUACCCAGGCUUGACAUGCACGUGGUAGGGAUCCGAAAGGUGACCGACCCGCAAGGGAGCGUGCACAGGUGCUGCAUGGCUGUCGU
rnacentral:rRNA from 1 species